CAUGUAUAACCUACUCAAUUUAUUACAACAUGCUCUAAAUUCAUAUUUGCAAUCUACCAUAUAAUCCAUGAAUUCGAGCUAGAAUAGUUUAUCCAAAAUCGAAAUCUAUACAUGUCGACGAUUAUGAACUUAGGAGUAAAACCGAUGUAAACCCACCUCAAAGCUAAUCCCUGGCAGUACGGAACUCCCUCGGCUGCGGCACAACCUGCUGGAUCGACUGAAAAUGUCCGAGUCUCGAAAUCAAGCUAUCUCCAAGCUAUCAACAUCGAAUCCACAAUUCGGUCCAAAAACACAGUAUCAGAGAAAGGAAGGGUUUCGACCAAGCUAACCUUCACCAAAAUCCACAAGUAAGGGCUUCGUGGAUUCCUCUCGCAGUCCUGAAUCCAGCGAACCAAGUUUCGUCGCGAUCCGAUGCUCCAACGUCGCGUACGAGCCAAAAUACCGACAGUCGACGCAGAAAUCUGCAGCAGUAGCACCCGAGCUCGAAAUUGAUGGAAUUGAAGUACUUGGAGGAAUGCCCACAGAUAAAGCACUUCAAACAUUUACCUAGAAUCAGCACGACGUCAAGGAUGGCGAAAAGCCGCACUCGCCCGACCUCCUCGCAGCAACACGACGUCGAAAGUGUGCUCGAACGGCUCCGCGGCACGACAUCGACGACCAAAUCCGAACUCCACCCGAGCUCCACCAUGCGCAAGAACCCAGCUAGAGAGAGAGGAGAAGAAGAAAAGCUCCUUCUCUCUGCUCUACACAAACCUAAAUAGAGAAAGAGAGAAAGGGUGAUACAAACGAGGGAGGGAAUUACCAAAUUAACCCUCUACCUACCCCCUUGUACCGGUACACGGGCUCCUGUACCGGUACAAGAGCCAACCCGAGAGCAGCUAAAUGGGUACGCGCUGGUUGUACCGGUACAGCGUGCUGGUUGUACCAGUACAGCAAGCAGAGAAAUCUGUUGUUUUGCAGAUUUCUUCGCUAUAAG
rnacentral:lncRNA from 1 species